ensembl:snRNA U6 U6 spliceosomal RNA
UAAGAUUAGCAUGGCCCCUGCACAAGGUUGACAUGCAAAUUUGUGAAGCAUUCCAUAUUUUU